GACGAACGCUGGCGGCGUGCUUAACACAUGCAAGUCGAACGAAGUGGCGCACGGGUGAGUAACGCGUAAUCAACCUGCCCUUCAGAGGGGGACAACAGUUGGAAACGACUGCUAAUACCGCAUACUGAAGGAGGGGAUUGCGUCUGAUUAGCUAGUUGGGGGGGUAACGGCCCACCAAGGCGAUGAUCAGUAGCCGGUCUGGAAGGAUGAACGGCCAAAUUGGGACUGGGAACAGGCCCAGACUCCUACGGGAGGCAGCAGUGGGGAAGCUUCCGAAAUGGAAGAAAGUCUGAAGGAACAACGCCGCGUGAGUGAUGACGGCCUUCGGGUUGUAAAGCUCUGUUAAUCGGGACGCGGUACCGGAAUAGAAAGCCACGGCUAACUACGUGCCAGCAGCCGCGGUAAUAC
rnacentral:rRNA from 1 species